rnacentral:sRNA from 1 species
AUUUUGGCGCCGCUGACUCCGGGGCUGGACGAUCCUCCGAGUCGGGUGAGGCUGGAGCUGGGAGCCGGGCGCCGCUGUGGCCGGUGCUUUUCUGAGGGAAAAGAGCGCGGGGUGGGCCAGGUUUUGCAGGCCGGGCCGAAGGUGGAGAAAAGGUUCCUGUGGCGCCUCAGGCCGCUGUGCGUUUUUUCCCGGGACUGAGCUUCUGCAGCCCUGAGGCCUGGAGGCCCGGGCGGCAGUAACUGUGCCGGGCCCGGUUCGUGGGUGCGGCCUAUGGUGCAAUUGGAGACCGAGGCCCCGCGCAUCCUCGUCCGCGCUUCAGCCGCUUAGGCUCGGCCGUAACGAAAAGGCCCAAGAGGGAAGUCAGGUGAACGCCCCAGGAUGAAGGUCCCCUGCAAAACGCUGGGACCUAGGUUUGGGGUGGCGGUUAGCUGGAGCCAGGGAAGCGUGGAGGGUGGGUUCCAAUCGAGUCAAGAAAAGCCUGGGGUGUCCUGAACUCUGCCUGCUUCCCCAGCCCUGCCAGUUUCCAGAGAAGGCGCCUGAGAAGGAGAAACGAAUCGCUGCUGCUCUUCUAAAAGCCGGUUC